ACUACGGGAGGCAGCAGUGAGGAAUAUUGGUCAAUGGACGAGAGUCUGAACCAGCCAAGUAGCGUGAAGGAUGACUGCCCUAUGGGUUGUAAACUUCUUUUAUAAAGGAAUAAAACGAGGCACGUGUGCCUUUUUGCAUGUACUUUAUGAAUAAGGAUCGGCUAACUCCGUGCCAGCAGCCGCGGUAAUACGGAGGAUCCGAGCGUUAUCCGGUUUUUUUGGGUGUAAAGGGAGCGUAGAUGGGUUGGUAAGUCAGUUGUGAAAGUUUGCGGCUGAACCGUAAAAUUGCAAUGGAUACUGGCAGUCUUUAGUACAGAUGAGGUAGGCGGAAUUCGUGGUGUAGCGGUGACAUGCUUAGAUAUCACGAAGAACCCCGAUUGCGAAGGCAGCUUACUAAACUGUGACUGACAUUGAUGCUCGAAAGUGUUGGUAUCAAACAGGAUUAGAUACCCCGGUAGUC
rnacentral:rRNA from 1 species